rfam:Rattus norvegicus chromosome 1, whole genome shotgun sequence.
GGGGAUUUAGCUCAGUGGUAGAGCGCUUGCCUAGCAAGCACAAGGCCCUGGGUUCGGUCCCCUGCUCCG